CUCAAGUUUUCUUAUUUUCUCCCUCUUUAGCAGUAAUGCAUAGUUAUUUAUGUUAGUCCAAAAUACUCUCUUUUAAGUAUUUAAAACACCCAUCAAGAAUUUAACUUUACUCUUCCAAUAACAAACCCUAUUAAUUAUUCAUUCCAUAAUUACAGAUGUUCAACAACCAGUUAUUAUAAUCCUUUUCCCAUCAAUUUCACAGCAACCAAAAGGACCCAGUAUCACACUGAUACAUAAAACAACAGGAAUUUAGAAACUUACAUUGUUGAGAAGCUUACUGACGAUUUGUUUGAAGCUGCUGA
rnacentral:misc_RNA from 1 species